rnacentral:rRNA from 1 species
UAGGGAAUCUUCCGCAAUGGACGCAAGUCUGACGGAGCAACGCCGCGUGAGUGAAGAAGGAUUUCGGUUCGUAAAACUCUGUUGUUAGAGAAGAACAGCGCAUAGAGUAACUGUUAUGCGUGUGACGGUAUCUAACCAGAAAGCCACGGCUAACUACGUGCCAGCAGCCGCGGUAAUACGUAGGUGGCAAGCGUUAUCCGGAAUUAUUGGGCGUAAAGCGCGCGUAGGCGGUUUUUUAAGUCUGAUGUGAAAGCCCACGGCUCAACCGUGGAGGGUCAUUGGAAACUGGAAAACUUGAGUGCAGAAGAGGAAAGUGGAAUUCCAUGUGUAGCGGUGAAAUGCGCAGAGAUAUGGAGGAACACCAGUGGCGAAGGCGACUUUCUGGUCUGUAACUGACGCUGAUGUGCGAAAGCGUGGGAAUCAAACAGG